GAUGAAGAACGCAGCGAAAUGCGAUAAGUAAUGUGAAUUGCAGAAUUCAGUGAAUCAUCGAGUCUUUGAACGCACAUUGCGCCCCCUGGUAUUCCGGGGGGCAUGCCUGUCCGAGCGUCAUUGCUGCCCUCAAGCACGGCUUGUGUGUUGGGCCCCGUCCCCUCCCCCGGGGACGGGCCCGAAAGGCAGCGGCGGCACCGCGUCCGAUCCUCGAGCGUAUGGGGCUUUGUCACCCGCUCUGUAGGCCCGGCCGGCGCCAGCCGACACCCAACUUUUAUUUCUAAGGUUGACCUCGGAUCAGGUAGGGAUACCCGCUGAACUUAAGCAUAUCAAUAAGCGGAGGA
rnacentral:misc_RNA from 1 species